CUUGAAAGUCACUUUUUGCUUUCUAAAAAUUUAAUGGUAUUUCUUAUCCAUUUAGAUUUGAUAAUAUAAGUGGUACAAUCCAAGGACAAUGGUAAAAGAAACUAAUUUAGAUAAUGAUGUUCAUCAUAUUAUAGACUAGACAAGGAAUAAAAGAGAGUUUAUGGUUUUAUUUUACAUACUUAAUAGAAAGGAAUAGACACAUUCAUUCAUCUGGAUUUCAUGAAGGCCCUUGAUUUCGUUCACUUUUGCUACUUAUGUCACCACUGUAACCUUCCCAAUUUUUCAAAUAUCCCCAACCUAUUUUAUUAUUUGAUCUCCUCCUCCUCCUCCUCCAUCAAGUUCACUUUCUUUAUCGUUUCCACCUUCGAUUUGUUCACCUCCACCUUGUGCACCUCCUUCACUACCAUUUCCUCCUGUGCCUGAUCCACCUUUUGAUCCUCCUUUACCACCCUUUCCUUUUACUCCAUGGCUUGUCCAACUUCCACCCGGGGGUCUCCAUGAAACUUUUAAUUUGAAUUCUUCUAUUUCACAAACUGCAUAGUAACAAACAUUUUUUAUUAAAUAUGAUAAAAGAAGGAAGAAAUUAUGUGUGUUUAUUUAUGUUUUAUAUACAUUCUUUCUCAUCUUUGGAUGGCUCAAUUGUCACAACAGAGAUAAAAAUAAGUUCACAAAUAAAGGAG
rnacentral:lncRNA from 1 species